rnacentral:ncRNA from 1 species
UAAAAAUUUUAUUUUGGUUUAAAAUUUCAGUAUAAUUGAAAAUUACAUGCAAAUUUUUGUGUGAAAGUAGAUAUAUUUUAAAUAAGUAUAUUUAUGGAUAAAAACGCAGUAAUAAAAAUUAAAUUUUUAAGAAAUUAAGAGUUAGUUAAUAUUUUUAGCACUAACAAAAUUUGUGCCAGCAGUUGCGGUUACACAAAUAGUGUGAUUGAAAUUAAUUUGGAAAUAAUUAAUAAUAAUAAAAGGAAUUUAAUAUAAAAUUUAUUAGGUGAAAUUUUUAAAUUUUAAAAUAAAUUUAGUUUUAGAUUAUGAAGUUGAGAAAUUCAAAAAAUAAACUAGGAUUAGAUACCCUAUUAUUUUGAGUGUAAAGUUGUGUUUCCAUAUUAGUAGUAGUUAUGUUCUUGAAAAUAAAAAGAUUUGGCGGUACUUUAGUCCAUUUAGAGGAACUUGUCCUAUAAUUGAUGAUCCACGAUUUAUAGUACUUAUAUUAUAUUAGCUUGUAUAUCGCCGUAGAUUGAAUGUUUUAGAAGAAGGAAAAUAUUCAAGAGGUUUUUUAAACAAGAAAUCAGGUCAAGAUGUAGCUUAUACAUAAGUAGAGAUGAGUUACAAUAAUUUUAAUUAAACGAAUAAAUAUUUUGAAAAAAAUUUUGAAGGUGGAUUUAAGAGUAAUUUUAUAUAAAUAUAUAAAAUGAUUUUGGCUCUAGGGUAUGCACAUAUCGCCCGUCGCUUUCGCUUUAAAGUGGAAUAAGUCGUAACAGAGUAGGUGUACUGGAAAGUGUACCUAGAAUGGA